rnacentral:rRNA from 1 species
GCGCGAUACAGGGUGACAGCCCCGUACACAAAAGCGCAUGUGCUGUGAGCUCGAUGAGUAGGGCGGGACACGUGGUAUCCUGUCUGAAUAUGGGGGGACCAUCCUCCAAGGCUAAAUACUCCUGACUGACCGAUAGUGAACCAGUACCGUGAGGGAAAGGCGAAAAGAACCCCGGCGAGGGGAGUGAAAAAGAACCUGAAACCGUGUACGUACAAGCAGUGGGAGCACCCUUCGGGGUGUGACUGCGUACCUUUUGUAUAAUGGGUCAGCGACUUAUAUUCUGUAGCAAGGUUAACCGUAUAGGGGAGCCGUAGGGAAACCGAGUCUUAACCGGGCGUUAAGUUGCAGGGUAUAGACCCGAAACCCGGUGAUCUAGCCAUGGGCAGGUUGAAGGUUGGGUAACACUAACUGGAGGACCGAACCGACUAAUGUUGAAAAAUUAGCGGAUGACCUGUGGCUGGGGGUGAAAGGCCAAUCAAACCGGGAGAUAGCUGGUUCUCCCCGAAAGCUAUUUAGGUAGCGCCUCGUGAAUUCAUCUCCGGGGGUAGAGCACUGUUUCGGCUAGGGGGCCAUCCCGGCUUACCAACCCGAUGCAAACUGCGAAUACCGGAGAAUGUUAUCACGGGAGACACACGGCGGGUGCUAACGUCCGUCGUGAAGAGGGAAACAACCCAGACCGCCAGCUAAGGUCCCAAAGUCAUGGUUAAGUGGGAAACGAUGUGGGAAGGCCCAGACAGCCAGGAUGUUGGCUUAGAAGCAGCCAUCAUUUAAAGAAAGCGUAAUAGCUCACUGGUCGAGUCGGCCUGCGCGGAAGAUGUAACGGGGCUAAACCAUGCACCGAAGCUGCGGCAGCGAACGUAUCACCCAAGACAACUUUACGGAGUUGACGAUUGACGGAGCGAAGCGACGUCAAAGCGUUCAUUAAAGUCGAGUUGGCUUAGGGAUACGUUCGUUGGGUAGGGGAGCGUUCUGUAAGCCUGUGAAGGUGUGUCGUGAGGCAUGCUGGAGGUAUCAGAAGUGCGAAUGCUGACAUAAGUAACGAUAAAGCGGGUGAAAAGCCCGCUCGCCGGAAGACCAAGGGUUCCUGUCCAACGUUAAUCGGGGCAGGGUGAGUCGACCCCUAAGGCGAGGCCGAAAGGCGUAGUCGAUGGGAAACGGGUUAAUAUUCCCGUACUUGGUGUUACUGCGAAGGGGGGACGGAGAAGGCUAUGUUGGCCGGGCGACGGUUGUCCCGGUUUAAGCGUGUAGGUGUGUGUUCCAGGUAAAUCCGGUUCACUUUAACACUGAGGCGUGACGACGAGGCACUACGGUGCUGAAGCAACAAAUGCCCUGCUUCCAGGAAAAGCCUCUAAGCAUCAGGUAACACGAAAUCGUACCCCAAACCGACACAGGUGGUCAGGUAGAGAAUACCAAGGCGCUUGAGAGAACUCGGGUGAAGGAACUAGGCAAAAUGGUGCCGUAACUUCGGGAGAAGGCACGCUGACACGUAGGUGAAGUGAUUUACUCAUGGAGCUGAAGUCAGUCGAAGAUACCAGCUGGCUGCAACUGUUUAUUAAAAACACAGCACUGUGCAAACACGAAAGUGGACGUAUACGGUGUGACGCCUGCCCGGUGCCGGAAGGUUAAUUGAUGGGGUCAGCGCAAGCGAAGCUCCUGAUCGAAGCCCCGGUAAACGGCGGCCGUAACUAUAACGGUCCUAAGGUAGCGAAAUUCCUUGUCGGGUAAGUUCCGACCUGCACGAAUGGCGUAAUGAUGGCCAGGCUGUCUCCACCCGAGACUCAGUGAAAUUGAACUCGCUGUGAAGAUGCAGUGUACCCGCGGCAAGACGGAAAGACCCCGUGAACCUUUACUAUAGCUUGACACUGAACAUUGAGCCUUGAUGUGUAGGAUAGGUGGGAGGCUUUGAAGUGUGGACGCCAGUCUGCAUGGAGCCGACCUUGAAAUACCACCCUUUAAUGUUUGAUGUUCUAACGUGGACCCGUAAUCCGGGUUGCGGACAGUGUCUGGUGGGUAGUUUGACUGGGGCGGUCUCCUCCUAAAGAGUAACGGAGGAGCACGAAGGUUGGCUAAUCCUGGUCGGACAUCAGGAGGUUAGUGCAAUGGCAUAAGCCAGCUUGACUGCGAGCGUGACGGCGCGAGCAGGUGCGAAAGCAGGUCAUAGUGAUCCGGUGGUUCUGAAUGGAAGGGCCAUCGCUCAACGGAUAAAAGGUACUCCGGGGAUAACAGGCUGAUACCGCCCAAGAGUUCAUAUCGACGGCGGUGUUUGGCACCUCGAUGUCGGCUCAUCACAUCCUGGGGCUGAAGUAGGUCCCAAGGGUAUGGCUGUUCGCCAUUUAAAGUGGUACGCGAGCUGGGUUUAGAACGUCGUGAGACAGUUCGGUCCCUAUCUGCCGUGGGCGCUGGAGAACUGAGGGGGGCUGCUCCUAGUACGAGAGGACCGGAGUGGACGCAUCACUGGUGUUCGGGUUGUCAUGCCAAUGGCACUGCCCGGUAGCUAAAUGCGGAAGAGAUAAGUGCUGAAAGCAUCUAAGCACGAAACUUGCCCCGA